GUCAGUGUGGUGUAGCAGUUGAAAUAUUGGACUAUGACUCUGGAGAACAGGGUUCAAAUCCCAGCUCUGCCA